CCCAGCAUUCCAGCUGGAUCAUGUCCAUCCAUCCCUCCAUUUUGAGGCCUACAAGCAUGUCUAAAUUCAUAAAUCAGAAAGAGGCUCAAGAGGUUAAAGUGGCUGUGUCAGAGUGCCCAGUGCCAUUCAGGAUUUACCUAGAAAGCUGUGAGCCAUUAUGAAAUCCAAACUCACAAACAUGCUCCUGCUUGUGGGUGAGACAUAUGCCUAGCAGUGCUUUGCCUGGCUAAGGAAAAGAAAUGACCAGACUUUGUGUCAGCAGAAUAAGGCCCCUUGCAUGGAGUGGGAGUUGCUGGAGGAGCUGGGCCAUCAGACCACCUCAUACAUGGGAGAGACCAGCAGAAAGUGAGAAAA